rnacentral:rRNA from 1 species
AGGGGAUUGCCUAGUACGGCGAGUGAAGCGGCAACAGCUCAAAUUUGAAAGCUAGCCUUCGGGUUCGCAUUGUAAUUUGUAGAGGAUGAUUUGGGGAAGCCGCCUGUCUAAGUUCCUUGGAACAGGACGUCAUAGAGGGUGAGAAUCCCGUAUGUGACAGGAAAUGGCACCCUAUGUAAAUCUCCUUCGACGAGUCGAGUUGUUUGGGAAUGCAGCUCUAAAUGGGAGGUAAAUUUCUUCUAAAGCUAAAUAUUGGCGAGAGACCGAUAGCGCACAAGUAGAGUGAUCGAAAGAUGAAAAGCACUUUGGAAAGAGAGUUAAAAAGCACGUGAAAUUGUUGAAAGGGAAGCGCUUGCAAUCAGACUUGUUUAAACUGUUCGGCCGGUCUUCUGACCGGUUUACUCAGUUUGGACAGGCCAGCAUCAGUUUCGGCGGCCGGAUAAAGGCUCUGGGAAUGUGGCCUCCACUUCGGUGGAGGUGUUAUAGCCCAGGGUGUAAUACGGCCAGCCGGGACUGAGGUCCGCGCUUCGGCUAGGAUGCUGGCGUAAUGGUUGUAAGCGACCCGUCUUGAAACACGGACCAAA